GACGAACGCUGGCGGCGUGCCUAAUACAUGCAAGUCGAGCGGACAGAAGGGAGCUUGCUCCCGGAAGUUAGCGGCGGACGGGUGAGUAACACGUGGGCAACCUACCCUGUAGAUCGGGAUAACAUCGAGAAAUCGGUGCUAAUACCGGAUAAUCAUUUGAAGUGCAUGCUUCGAAUGUAAAAGAUGGCUCCGGCUAUCACUACGGGAUGGGCCCGCGGCGCAUUAGCUAGUUGGUAAGGUAAUGGCUUACCAAGGCAACGAUGCGUAGCCGACCUGAGAGGGUGAUCGGCCACACUGGGACUGAGUCACGGCCCAGACUCCUACGGGAGGCAGCAGUAGGGAAUCUUCCGCAAUGGACGAAAGUCUGACGGAGCAACGCCGCGUGAGUGAUGAAGGUUUUCGGAUCGUAAAGCUCUGUUGUUGGGGAAGAACAAGUGCCGUUUGAAUAAGGCGGCACCUUGACGGUACCUAACCAGAAAGCCACGGCUAACUACGUGCCAGCCGCCGCGGUAAUAC
rnacentral:rRNA from 1 species